AGGACGAGAAGAAGAAGAAGAAAGAAAAGAGAGCGAAAUGGAUGCGUGUGUGUGAUCCGUAAUCCUCUUCCCUCACUUCCCCUCACUCAUUCUUUUUUUUUUUGU
rnacentral:ribozyme from 1 species